UUCAGCUUUGAGCUUAGGGGGUAAUUUUCAGCCCAGAAUAUUGAGUGACUUGGAAAUAAGCCUAGCACAUUGCUUAUGACUCCUUGAGAAGCCGGUAUCGGCAUCACCCUCAAGCUAACUAUGCUUUUGUUAAACUUUGUGGCUGAAGGGAUGGACUUCAGAAUUCGGUUCCAACCUUCUGUCCUAAUCUAGCUGUUCCCACUUUACAGUUCAAGAAGCACCUACUGAGAAAAAUGGGGAGGAAAAAAGAAAUGAAGCUCCAGUACAGCAAACUGUGAAUUCAGAGGUGGAGAGGCAGAGAGACAGGCUGAAGAGCUCUCAGUCAGAAUGAUCAAACUGUAAAAAAAAGAAGGUAUGAGCCACAGCAGAGAUCUGAAAAACAGCCAGAGAAACCAUCCUGGAUUUCAUAAAACCCCAAAAGAUUAUACGACUUCAUGUCAUGGCUUUGGGAGAAUGAUAAAAUUGAGGUUGAUAAAUGGCUUGUGUUAAUGGUUCUA